GUUCGGCUGACGAGUCCCAAACAGGACGAAACAGCUGUCCAGUGC
rnacentral:hammerhead_ribozyme from 1 species